AUAGCUUCUGGGCCUUUUAGUUAAGAUCAAGUGUAGUAUCUGAGCUUAAUAGUUUGGUGUCCGAUAUGAUGUCAUACCAUAUGGAUUUCUGGAGCCUGGAAACGGGACAGGAGCUUGCUCCGUCCACUACACAGGUCCACUCCAC
rnacentral:snRNA from 1 species